ACUAACAUCCUUAUCUAGUUUCUGACCUUAGGGGGCAGUAGUUCUUGUACAGUCUGACUUGUUUCAGCUGUUAGAAAAUGUCUUUAUCUUUGAAGUCUU
rnacentral:pre_miRNA from 10 species